GAGAGGGUUCAGUGAGAGAGGUCCCUCCCCCUCUGACCAUCUCCUCCAAUGAGUUUUGAGAACGAGGUUGAGGAGAGAGAGGGUUCAGUGAGAGAGGUCCCUCCCCUCUGACCAUCUCCUCCAAUGAGUUUUGAGAACGAGGUUGAGGAGAGAGAGGGUUCAGUGAGAGAGGUCCCUCCCCCUCUGACCAUCUCCUCCAAUGAGUUUUGAGAACGAGGUUGAGGAGAGAGAGGGUUCAGUGAGAGAGGUCCCUCCCCUCUGACCAUCUCCUCCAAUGAGUUUUGAGAACGAGGUUGAGGAGAGAGAGGGUUCAGUGAGAGAGGUCCCUCCCCUCUGACCAUCUCCUCCAAUGAGUUUUGAGAACGAGGUUGAGGAGAGAGAGGGUUCAGUGAGAGAGGUCCCUCCCCUCUGACCAUCUCCUCCAAUGAGUUUUGAGAACGAGGUUGAGGAGAGAGAGGGUUCAGUGAGAGAGGUCCCUCCCCUCUGACCAUCUCCUCCAAUGAGUUUUGAGAACGAGGUUGAGGAGAGAGAGGGUUCAGUGAGAGAGGUCCCUCCCCUCUGACCAUCUCCUCCAAUGAGUUUUGAGAACGAGGUUGAGGAGAGAGAGGGUUCAGUGAGAGAGGUCCCUCCCCUCUGACCAUCUCCUCCAAUGAGUUUUGAGAACGAGGUUGAGGAGAGAGAGGGUUCAGUGAGAGAGGUCCCUCCCCUCUGACCAUCUCCUCCAAUGAGUUUUGAGAACGAGGUUGAG